rnacentral:lncRNA from 1 species
CUCUGGGAUUGUUUUUUAACAGAUGAUAUGGACUGAUUUGACUGCCAUUGAUUUUAAAUGUUUUUAUAUAGGUCAGUUCAAAGAGUGCAUAGGAUAAGUCUCUCUCUCUCUCUCUCUAGUAAUAAGAUGGAGAGCACAGAGAACCGGAGGCAGCAGAAGGUUCUCCGGGCGACGGUGCUCAAGCUGACGGACAACAUGAAACAGCUGGAUGAGGAGAACGCCAGGCUCAAACAGGAAGCAGACCAGGAGGUCAGCAUCGUCACAGAGAGCCUAGCCAACAGAGCCAAAGGUUAUAUUGAGUGGAGCAAACAGAGGCUGGUGAGACGCUUACUGGGCCUGGAGAGGAGGCUGGAGGACGUGAGAAAUCGCCACACGGCUAAAGACUCUACCGCAGAGGAUUCCCGUCUCAUCACCACGGCAACGAGGCCCGAGGCUGCGGCCACGGCAACGCCGGCGCGUGAGACCGUGUCCGUAUCCACAGAGACGGACGGGAGCCAGGGCGGAGACGGCGAGCUGCGUCAGGAGUGUGUGCGUCUGAAGGGCGUGGCCCGGAGACUCAGAGAGGAGAGGAGCGCUCUUCAGGAGAGCGUCGCCAAGAAAGAGUGAGAGAGUCAGACCUCACACUGCCCAGCCACACACACACACACACACAUGCACACACUCACAUGCGCACACACACACACACACACACACACACACAACACACAUUUCACACACAACACACACAUUUCACACACAACACACACACAACAUACACACAACAUACACAUCACACACAC